rnacentral:rRNA from 1 species
GUACACGCAAAGAUGCAAUGGCAAGAGAGCAGAAAUUAAAACAAGGUCAAUCAAAAAGACAUUUGAUUGAUAGAAUACAAGACAGUAUAAAACUUUGUGAAUAAAAUUGAGUGCGGGAUAGUGGCGGACGGGUGAGUAACGCGUGAAUAAUCUGCCCCAUACAGGGGGAUAGCCUCGGGAAACCGGGAUUAAAACCGCAUAACACUUUAUCACCGCAUGGUGAUGAAGUCAAAUCGAUUAAGAGGUAUGGGAUGAGUUCGCGUCUGAUUAGCUAGUUGGCGGGGUAAAGGCCCACCAAGGCGACGAUCAGUAGCCGGCCUGAGAGGGUGACCGGCCACACUGGAACUGAGACACGGUCCAGACUCCUACGGGAGGCAGCAGUGGGGAAUAUUGCACAAUGGGGGAAACCCUGAUGCAGCGACGCCGCGUGAGUGAAGAAGGUCUUCGGAUCGUAAAACUCUGUCCUUGGUGACGAAGGAAGUGACGGUAACCAAGGAGGAAGCCCCGGCUAACUACGUG